UUUUGUAAGUGAAAAUUUUAAAAAUUUAAAUUUAAAAAAAUGUAAGUUUUUAUUUCCUUUAUUUUAAAACAAUGAACAAAAUCACUACGAGUAAGAUAAAUUAUCAAAGUUGUUUGAAAAAAGGGAAAAAAAAGGGUCCAUUAUAUUUGUGUUUUAUUGUAGUAUAUCGAUUUCUGAACAUUUAUUUUAACAAAAACUGCCCCCCCCCCC